rnacentral:misc_RNA from 1 species
UCUCCGUUGGUGAACCAGCGGAGGGAUCAUUACAGAGUCGUAAAACACUCCCAAACCCAUGUGAACUUACCAUUGUUGCCUCGGCGGGCUACCCUGUAGACCGCCGGUGGACCAUUAAACUCAUGAAUUACCCUGUAAAUCUGAGCGUUUUAAACAAAUAAGUUAAAACUUUCAACAACGGAUCUCUUGGUUCUGGCAUCGAUGAAGAACGCAGC